rnacentral:rRNA from 1 species
CCUACGGCGUGCAGCAGUGGGGAAUAUUGGGCAAUGGGCGCAAGCCUGACCCAGCAACGCCGCGUGAAGGAAGAAGGCUUUCGGGUUGGAAACUUCUUUUUUCAGGGACGAAGCAAGUGACGGUACCUGACGAAUAAGCCACGGCUAACUACGUGCCAGCAGCCGCGGUAAUACGUAGGUGGCAAGCGUUAUCCGGAUUUACUGGUUGUAAAGGGCGUGUAGGCGGGACGGCAAGUCAGUUGUGAAAACCACGGGCUCAACCUGUGGCCUGCAUUUGAGACUGUAGUUCUUGAGUACUGGAGAGGCAGACGGAAUUCCUAGUGUAGCGGGGAAAUGCGUAGAUAUGAGGAGGAACACCAGUGGCGAAGGCGGCCUGCUGAACAGCGACUGACGCUGAGGCGCGAAAGUGUGGGGAGCAAACAGGAUUAGAUACCCUAGUAGUC